rnacentral:rRNA from 1 species
UACGGGGGGAGCAAGCGUUGUUCGGAUUCAUUGGGCGUAAAGGGUGCGUAGGCGGCGCGGUAAGUCGGGUGUGAAAUCUCGGAGCUUAACUCCGAAACUGCAUUCGAUACUGCCGUGCUUGAGGACUGGAGAGGAGACUGGAAUUUACGGUGUAGCGGUGAAAUGCGUAGAUAUCGUAAGGAAGACCAGUGGCGAAGGCGGGUCUCUGGGACGGUACUGACGCUGAGACGCGAAAGCGUGGGGAGCGAACAGG